rnacentral:rRNA from 1 species
GACGAACGCUGGCGGCGUGCUUAACACAUGCAAGUCGAACGGAAAGGCCCUGCUUGCAGGGUACUCGAGUGGCGAACGGGUGAGUAACACGUGGGUGAUCUGCCCUGCACUUCGGGAUAAGCUUGGGAAACUGGGUCUAAUACCGGAUAGGAGCCAUCUUUAGUGUGGUGGUUGGAAAGUUUUUUCGGUGUGGGAUGAGCUCGCGGCCUAUCAGCUUGUUGGUGGGGUAAUGGCCUACCAAGGCGGCGACGGGUAGCCGGCCUGAGAGGGUGUACGGCCACAUUGGGACUGAGAUACGGCCCAGACUCCUACGGGAGGCAGCAGUGGGGAAUAUUGCACAAUGGGCGCAAGCCUGAUGCAGCGACGCCGCGUGGGGGAUGAAGGCCUUCGGGUUGUAAACUCCUUUCGCUAGGGACGAAGCUUUUUGUGACGGUACCUAGAUAAGAAGCACCGGCUAACUACGUG